rnacentral:rRNA from 1 species
CAGUAGCCGCGGGAAUACGUAGGUGGCAAGCGUUGUCCGGAAUCAUUGGGCGUAAAGGGCUCGCAGGCGGUUUCUUAAGUCUGAUGUGAAAGCCCCCGGCUCAACCGGGGAGGGUCAUUGGAAACUGGGAAACUUGAGUGCAGAAGAGGAGAGUGGAAUUCCACGUGUAGCGGUGAAAUGCGUAGAGAUGUGGAGGAACACCAGUGGCGAAGGCGACUCUCUGGUCUGUAACUGACGCUGAGGAGCGAAAGCGUGGGGAGCGAACAGGAUUAGAUACCCCUGUAGUCCCUGUCUCUUAUAC